rnacentral:rRNA from 1 species
AACGAACGCUGGCGGCGCGUCUUAAACAUGCAAGUCGAACGGCAGGAAGGGGCUUGCCCCUUCUGAGAGUGGCGGACUGGUGAGUAACACGUGGGUGACAUACCUUUUAGUUGGGGAUAGCUAUUAGAAAUAGUAGGUAAUACCGAAUGUGACCGUACCUGUUAGAGGGGUACGAGGAAAGGAGCUAAGGCUUCGCUAAAAGAAUGGCUCGCGGCCCAUUAUGCUCGUUGGUGAGGUAACGGCCCACCAAGGCGAUGAUGGGUAUCCGGCCUGAGAGGGUGAACGGACACAUUGGGACUGAGAUACGGCCCAGACUUCUACGGGCGGCAGCAGUUAAGAAUAUUCCGCAAUGGACGAAAGUCUGACGGAGCGACGCCGCGUGGAUGAAGAAUGCCGAAAGGUUGUAAAAUCCUUUUAAGCCUGAUGAAUAAGCACAGUAGGGAAUGAUUGUGCGGUGACCGUAGGGCUUGAAUAAGCACCGGCUAAUUACGUG